rnacentral:lncRNA from 1 species
UUCCUACUAGCUAUUACCAUGCUGAAAUAUACAUGUUUACUAAUACACACACUUAUAACAUUUCCUUAUGUAUUAUAAGCAAAUAUAUUGACAAUCGUUCUUCGUUGUGGUCCUCUAAAAUUUGCAGGUCGUGGUAAUAAUAGGUGUCGAGAAAUUACCAUUGGUGACAAUCAGUAAGUAUAACAUUUAAAUAUUGUGUUGUCAAUUGUGGAAAUGGGGUUCUGUAUUUUCUUUGUUUCUUGAGGUUGUUUUUCUUAAUUGACAAAAGAUAUGGAAAUACUAGAUUGUGGGGUUUGUUUUGUGCUUGAAUUUUGGACUUUUCUUCUCUUUUUGAGUUUUGUUUUAUUGUUCUUUUAGUUAUUCUGAAACCUGAAUGGAAGUAAAUAGCCACAAUUAGGGAAAGCCUUGUGCCUUUUUCGAGUUUCUGUAGUAAAUGAUGAUAAAUAUAUUAUUGAAAGUUGAUUUUAUCAAACCAUCUGAUGAGCUUGAGAAACCACUUCCGCCACUGACCAAGAUGAAUGUCACAACCUUUCCGCAUUGCUCAUAUGACUGUUGAUUCUACGACUGAAAUUGGUAUAUUGUUCCUACUAGCUAUUACCAUGCUGAAAUAUACAUGUUUACUGAUACACACUUAUAACAUUUCCUUAUGUAUUAUAAGCAAAUAUAUUGACAAUCGUUCUUCGUUGUGGUCCUCUAAAAUUUGCAGGUCGUGGUAAUAAUAGGUGUCGAGAAAUUACCAUUGGUGACAAUCAGUAAGUGUUAACAUUUAAAUAUUGUGUUGUCAAUUGUGGAAAUGGGGUUCUGUAUUUUCUUUGUUUCUUGAGGUUGUUUUUCUUAAUUGACAAAAGAUAUGGAAAUACUAGAUUGUGGGGUUUGUUUUGUGCUUGAAUUUUGGACUUUUCUUCUCUUUUUGAGUUUUGUUUUAUUGUUCUUUUAGUUAUGCUGAAACCUGAAUGGAAG